GUACACACCGCCCGUCACACCAUGGGAGCGGGUUCUGCCAGAAGUAGUUAGCCUAACCGCAAGGAGGGCGAUUACCACGGCAGGGUUCGUGACUGGGGUGAAGUCGUAACAAGGUUUCCGUAGGUGAACCUGCAGAAGGAUCA
rnacentral:rRNA from 1 species